CAAAAGUAUUGCAUAUAUCCUUGUCUAUUAUUUGGUGAAGUACUGCAAACUUAACUGAAUAAGAAUCAGCUUUCUGUGAAAUGGCUCUUCAUACCUGAAUUGGGAAUCACAUCCCUAUUUCAUGCCUUAUGAAAUCACUAAAUGCAGAGAUGCAGACAAGAUUUGAUUCCCAAAUUUGGAUACAAAUGCAAGCAAACUACUGUACCUACAGUUUUAUAGAUAAGAACCACUUACUCCUGCAGAAACAGAAACUACUGAACUAAAAGUGAAAGUGAAAUGAACAUCAGUGGGAGCGAGGUAAGCCACAUAGCAUUUGGACCAUGGGGAGGCCAAAGGGGGAAUCGAUGGGAUGAUGGAAUCUUUUCCGGUGUAAGGCAAGUAGUGAUCUCUACAAGUUUGGUUGGAAUCCAUUCCAUCCAGUUUGAGUAUGAUAAGAAUGGUCACGCGAUUUGGUCAGACAAGCAUGGCGGCAACUCUGGUACUAGGACUGAUCAGAUCAAGUUUGACUACCCUACUCAAUUCCUUGUCUCAAUUAGCGGAUAUUGUGGCUCUAUUACAGAAGGUGGUCCAGUAAUUGUCCGAUCACUUUCCUUGGAAACCAACAGGAAAAGAUAUGGACCUUUUGGUAUUGAGCAGGGAGCUCCUUUCUCGCUAUCUAUAAGUGGUGAGAUUUUAGUGGGUUUUCAUGGAUGGAGCAGCAAAUACCUUGAUUCUAUUGGGGUUUAUGUUAAGUCUCACCAGCAAACAAGACUUUUGGAGACGCAAAGGAUGAUCCCUACUACCCUGUCUACCCAUACAAGUAGAGUUCCUGAGAUUAGCAAGAAAGUUCUGUCACUUGGACCGUGGGGAGGGGAUGGUGGAAAGAUAUUCAAUGAUGGAAUUUAUACAGGGGUACGAGAAGUGCAUAUAACGCGAUCAGGAGGGUUAGUAUCAAUUCGAGUUUGUUAUGAUCAAAACGGGAAAGUGCUUUGGGGGAGAAAGCAUGGUGGAUCUGGAGGACUCAAGCUUGAUAAGAUUGUUUUCGACUAUCCCUACGAAAGGCUGACUCAUAUAACAGGCUCCUACGGAUCCACGAUCAUGCGAGGGCCUACAAUCAUCAAAUCAAUUACUUUCCACACCAACAAAAGGAGUUAUGGACCAUUUGGAAAUCCACAAGGAUUUUCAUUUUCCACAGGCUCAUCUGGUGCAAUUGUUGGUUUUCAUGGCAGAAAUGGAUAUUUUAUGGAUAGCAUUGGAGUCUAUGGUCUAGAAAGCGAACCAAUCUUCACUCAGUCUUAUCCUGAUCCUUAUGACAUGCCUAGCCUAAAGUCUUCUGAGGUUGUAUGGGGAGUGCCUAGACAACCAGCUCUCCACGAAUCAGGGCCAUGGGGAGGUGAAGGAGGUAAGCCUUGGGAUGAUGGAGUGUGUACAGGGGUGAAGAAAAUUAUUCUAACAAAAGGAGAUGCUAUUUGCUCAAUACAAUUUCAGUAUGAUCAACAUGGCCACUCUGCUUGGUCUGCUCCACAUGGAAUAGCCAACGGCGCCUGCACUUACCAUAUAAAAUUUGAUUUUCCAUAGGCACAUACUUUUCUUCGACAAAUAAUGAAGGUAAAAUAGUUGGGUUCUAUGGAAGGAGUGGCACUUUCUUAGAUUCUAUUGGAGUCCAUAUGCAACAAUGGGUGAGCGACGAACUGUCACACCAUCCAUAUCCUCCUACACGAGCAAGCAUUAGAAAUAUGCUGCACAAAAUCUACAUGUGAUGUUUGUGUAACAAUGGAUGGGACCUAUGUAUAUAUUGUUGUGUGGAAUCUGUUUCUAUAAUGGGUUUCUGGAUGUUAUGUGUACUGAAUUACUGAUUCUAUGAUCUGUGUGUGUUCUUUUGAAGAGUCAAAUCCUAACACUUAUAAAGCUUCAUACUUAUAAUACUAUUCACCCAAUAGUGUUGUUACAUAUAUGCCCUUGAUUUCCUUCUUAGUUUUUUUUUGUCCUUAUUCUUAUCAAUAGUCAAAGGUCUGUUUUGACCUUCUUCACUUAAUCUGUCACGCUUCAUCACCCUCGCCUCUUCCUCUUUCUUCCGUUUCUUCACCCUCGCCUCUCCCUCUUUCUUCAGUUCUCUCCUCUUCUCUUCAACGGUGUUCCUCUUCCUCUAUAUACUACAAAUUACUCUGUUUUUUCGCCCCUUUUCCUCCUCUUCUUGGCGCUACCAAAAAAUUACUAUGCUUUUUAGGACAUCUCCCAUGGCGUUCGUUUUGAAGGGCUCCAUUUGCCCCCGAUCUGACAACUCUCCAUUGUCAGUACGUUUUAGCAAUUCGCUCUCCCCUCUUUUUCCAAUGUUUCAAUAUUUUCUGUUUCUAUUUGAUUAAUGUCAUUAUUUCUAAUAAUAUAGCAUCUCUCUUCUUAACCCUAAUGCCGUCAACGCGCAGGUAGCUGCUUUUUCUGGAGAUGCUCAUAGGUCCCUGGAGAUAUGACGGAGUGCAGCAGUAAUAUCAGAUUACCGUAUCAGGAAUCAGGUCUCUUUAGUUGAUGGUUUUUCUGUUGCUACAUACUAUUCCAAAAUCAAGAUUUCUAUGCUUAAAUUUCUAAUCAUGAAAGAUACAGAGCAGUAUUUUGAUGUCCUUUCUGAAUCAUAUUUUAUAUUACUUUGUCCAAUGUGAUCAUUAGCGUUCCUAUCUUCAUUUGCUGAGCAAGACCUUGAAUCAAAUCAAGAAACUCUAAUUAUGUUUCUUUGCAGAUGGGUUUCAGUGUAGUGGACUCAUCUGAGAUUGAGUUCGAGUUUAGAUCAUGGCCAUGUGAAUCAGAAAACUAAACGUAAAAGUAUCUUUCAGGAUUUGCCAUCAUGUGUUGUUAAUUAGUGAAUCACAACUUGUUUUCACAAGGGAAAGAGAGGAGCUUGUUCCUAUUCAUGAUAUCUUAUUACUCCCUCCGUCCCAGAUUAGUUGUUACACUUUCCUUUUUCGUCCGUCCUAGAUUAGUUGUUACACUUCUAAAUUAGGAAUGACCCCACAAUUAUUAUAUUGUCUCUCUCUUCCCACUAAAUCUUUUUUUGUCCCCACACCCUCUCUCAUUCAAUUAAAAAAAAUAACCCACUAACUCCUAUCACAUCUACUUUUUCAAUAAAAUAACAAUUGAUAACCACACUACUACUUAUCGCAUUAAACUGUGUGCCCAUGAGAGUGUAACAACUAUUCUGGGACGGAGGGAGUAUUAUUUUUAGUGAAAUUGGAUUGUUUAAAACUCAAUGAUUUCUUAAAUUCAUUCUUAACAAGCUUCAUUGUUCUCUCAGUCUUAGAAUAUUAAUGCUUGUAUUUGGGUUCUAUGUGCGGAAAUGGUACAAGGCUUGUAUUUUCCUUGAUGGUCAUGAUAAUGAUGAAUGGAAGUUGAACACAUGACUGGAAGUAAAAAGGUCCAACGGAAACUAUGUGGAAGUUUAGAGUUUUGAUGUUAAUAUUUUUGCAUUAUGUUUCUGGUAAGUCUAGUGUUUUUUCUCAGGUUCAUGAUGUUAUGUUUCUCGUCUCUUCAUGGUAGCAAGAGAAGUGUGCUAAAACAUCAUUUUCAUUCUUAUGAUAUGAAUAUUUUUGUUUUGUUCCUUGUCAAAAUUUCUAUUUUUUCUAAAUUUGUUGGAGAUGGAAGUUGUAUUGUACAAAACUAGAGCAGAAGCAAAGUUGCAUUAUAUAUAUGUUAAACUCUUGGUUCCCUCGUCCCUAAUAAAAUGUUACUUUUCU